ACCAAUGAGGUGCAAUUUUCAGCAUGAAACACUUUCAAGUGUGGUGGAAGCUCUGGCAAAAGUUGAAGAUUCUUGCAAUUAGACAGACAAAGCUCGGUCAGUGAUCCCAGGUCAGAAAAUUCAUUCGGUAAAUUAUCAAGCAGUAAGCCUUCUAAAUUAAGCCUUACAAGCUUACACAUGCGACCGAUUGACGGGUUCAAUUUAUCAAUUCCUGUGUUGGUUAAAUCCAAUCUUUCAAUUGAAUCUGAGGAGACUGAAAAUUCCUUAAGCCGACAGCAGCCUCUGACAUCGAUCUCCUCAAGAGAUCUUAAAUGAUCACGACUAAUAAGACUUUGUAGGUUUUUGCACCCAUCUAGUAGCACAGUAACAAUUGUGUCCUUAGAAAAAAUAUGAGGUUUAAUUUCACAUAAGCUUUGACAACCGGAAAGAUAGAGGCAUUUCAGUUUGAAUGCUCGUGACAGAUCAAGGAGUUUGAUCAACUUCUUGCAUUCUCUUAUGUUGAUUGUCUCUAAAUUCACAAGUUCCUGUAACAAUUAAAAAAAAAAAAAACAUUCAAAAUAAAUUUUCUCAAGUUAAAUUUUAGACUAAAACCUGCAGACACACGAAGACGUAUUUGAUUUCCUUCCCAAAUAUGUUCAAUAUUGCUAUGCGGCAAGUGAAUCUCAACAAGAUACUCAGCACAAAAAGGGUGUGGAAGAGACUUAAAAGGGUAUUCACUCCACUCCAGGUAUCUCAAUUCAUCAGAAAAUGGCAUAAUACCUUGAUCAGGAGGAUACAACUUAGUAGAUUUCUCCUUACCCAUGGGGACAUACAAUUUAAGAAACCUUAAAUAAGUCAUCUCGUUGAAUGUGUUAGCUUGGAUAUGUAAAUUAACUUUUUGAGACAAAUCAAAUAUUAUGCCUCGAACUGCAUCAUUACCCUAACAAAAGAAGAAGUUAGUGCAUGACAACAAAUAAAUUAUGUAGAAACAUGUAAAUUAAUAUGGUAUUGUUCAUACCUUUUUACUUUUAAGAACAUCACUAACUUCUUUAUCCCUAAAUGGGCUUUGUUUUUUUGGGCCUAUGCGAACUAUAUCGAAAGCCAAUUGUUGUAGUAAGUCAUGCAUUUGUAUUCUGUUGGUCUUUGAAAUUGUAAUAAGAGCUUUAUCUUUAAGGCUCUCUAUUCCACCGAUUGCACUGAAACCGCAUGCAUCAAGUAUCCUGAUAACAAAAUCUUUAUUUUCAUCUUUGAAAAAGAAUGCAACGUCAAGAAACAUUUCUUUCUGUUGUAAUGGUAAUCUAUUAUAGCUCACUUUUAAAACUUGUUGAAUUUCUCCCAAGGAUUCUCCUCUUUUCUCCAUAUAAUUUAAUUCAGAUUCCCAGAAUUCAUAUUCUCUUUUCUUAAAAUGUAAACCUAAAACUUUUAAAGCUAAUGGAACACCUCCUGCACAUUCAAUUGCUAUUUUUGAGAAACCCUUGUAGCCCUCUUCGGGAUAAGUUUGCUUGAAGGCUCCUAAACAGAAAAGCUUUUGAGAUUCUUCAAACUUCCAUUUUGUAACCUCAUAUAUCUCAUCAACUGUUCCACUAAGAAUAUGUUUGUCUCUCGUUGUGAUAAUGAGUCUACUUUGUGGUCCAAGGCCACCUAGAGGUUCACACAAAUAAUCUAAUAUGUAAGCAUUAUCUACGUCAUCAAGUACAAUGAAAACUUUUGUACUCGUAAGCCUACUCCUAAUAGAUUUGGAUCGAUGCUCAGUUGGUGUUAUUUGUCGAUUUAGUAGCUCACUGAGAAGAUUACUACGAACUUGCAUUUGUUUAAAUUUGUCUACUUCUUCACAUGCAUUUUCCAGAAAGCAAGCACUUUCAUAUUGUGCAAAGUGCUUGGCAAACAUCUGUCUGGCUAUGGUUGUCUUUCCUAUUCCUCCCAUGCCCCAAAUUCCAAUUCUUUGAUACUUUUUCAGUAGUGAUUCAGUAUCUCCUUUGUUUUCAUCAAUUUCAUUGAGGCCUUCUAGUUCAAUAGGAUGCAUCCGAGACGACUUUUUCCCAACAUCUUCCACAAUUUUCUCAAUGAGUUGAGAAUCAUCCCUAUCCAAAAAGGUAAAUAUAAUGAAGAAAAAUGCUAUAUAUAUAAUGAUCACGAAUGCAAUGCAUCAUGACUAGUUUAUCUAAGCCCACUUGUAAAGGUGAUUUCCGUUAUAUCUAAAACCAAAGUAAUUUUGCAAUAUCCGUUGCUUAAUAAUAAUAAUAAUAACCACUUAACCAAAAUUUGAACAAAUUUGCUAUUAUAUGUAAUUGACAGCACUACAAAUGCCAUGAUCUACUGCUGAGAUCUGCAGUUACUGCUGAGAUCACUACCUGGAAUCUCUGUCACACCGACACUUCUAAUCAAAGACAUAUCUGGUGUCCGGCAUGUGUUUGUGUUUGACACUGACAUGGGUCGUCAAUGUGAUUACAUUCAGUUGUUAUGUUUUCAAAUUAUUAUCGGUUUUGAUUUGUCGGUGUCAUAUCUGGUGUCCUUGUCCUUGCAAGUGCUUCUUUGCCAGGAAUUGAGAACUAAUAAGAGAAAAGUGUUGAUUAUUAAAAAUUGCUCUUUUAUGAAUGGUGUGUGAAAUUGAACAACUUGUUCUGCACCCAUUUUGCUUGCAUUUUGUUUUGAUGAUUAUCAGUUUUGCAAAUUAGAAACCACGGAGGAGGGAGUUUCCAGCAUAUAUGAAAAUUACAGUGCUUCUUUUUUGACAUGUUUCCAUAUUGUUACAUCUGUAGGGUUUGUGUCCUUCAAUAAAAAACAUUCUUCUUUUAGACUCUGAAGGGAAGCGUGUGGCAGUCAAGUAUUACUCAGAUGACUGGCCGACAAACAGUUCAAAGUUAGCUUUUGAGAAGUUUGUGUUCACUGAGACUGUUAAGACAAAUGCGCGGACAGAAGGUAAGCAGCAAAUAUUGAGAAAUACUCAUCAUGAUAUGAAGUCUAUUAAUUUUGUAUUGUGUGCUAUUGUAGUGGCCAGUGGCACAUAUAUCAAUCUAACAUGAUUCUUGAUGUAACAGAUAUGUAGCUUUGUUUGUAGGUUAUUAUUAUAUUAUGCAGUUUGGUUUGAUCUUUAAAAUCCUUUUACUUAUUGAUGUUCAUGCCAAUAGUUCUAUUUACUUUCACUUCUUAGUCAAAUUUUUUACCUCAUAAGAAGAUAAGUCACGGGGUUACCUUGAGCUAAAUGAUAAAAUGAAGUGUUUUCAUGACUAUUUUAUAUCUUGGACGAAAUAGAUUUUGUGUUUAUCUCACUCAAAUCAGUUGGUGUCCUGCAUAUAUGUAAAAAGUUGAGUUAUAUUUUGAAACAUUCUCAUGAGCCUGCAUCCCUAUUUGCUGCAUCACUCUUUAAGAAAUAGACUCAAUCAUUAUUUACUACAGCUUGCAUUCCUUUUUGACAAUAGAGGGUAAUCUAGAAAAAACCCAUAUUAUAUAUCUAUAUAUAUAUAUAUAUAUAUAUAUUUUUUUUUUUUUUUUUGGGAGACAUAUUUUAUAUAUUUUAAAAACUACUUAUUUUGUCCCGUGAGCUUAGCUCAAUUGGUUGGACAAUGCAUUAUUAUAUGCAGGGGUCGGGGUUCGAACCUCGGACACUUCACUUAUUCAGCUUAUAAGGUGAAUUCUAGCCACUAGACUAUCUAUUAAAAAAAAAAAAAAACUACUUAUUUUAGUUUUCUGUCUCGUUCCUAUAUCUCAUUUGUUUUUUUUUUUUUACAUGUUACAUACUCAAAUUAACGAUUCAGUCGUCAACAUUAUAGCUCCUGGGGUCGUGGCUAUUCAAAUCACUCACUUUUGUUGUAAACAUUUUGUCAUUUUAUGUUUAAAUCUAAGUUUUUUUUUGUUGGAAUGUUUUUAAUCUUAAUGUUUUGAGUUUGUUUGUAGAUUUAUCAUUUUAAAUUUUAGCGACAUUGAAUUUAUAUUGUUUUAUACGCAUUCUAUGAAUCUGAAUGAAUCAAUUGAGAGGGUAGAAGAAACAAAGCAACAUAAAUAUUGUGAUAUCUAAGUUACUUUGAAGCUUUGGUCGUAUACACAUACUAAUACAGUCUGUUGAGUCUAAUAUCAAAGCUAUUCUUGCCUCAAUAAUUAUUUGCCUUAUACUCACUAGCAGAAAGACACGUCUAUCAGCUUUUCUAUUGUACUUAAUUAUAUAUCAAUGUUAUCAAAUCUCAUUAUAAAUAUUUAGCAUAUAUCUCCUUUACAAUGCAAGUCGUUACUCAUUUUUUAAUAUAUAAAUAAAUUAUUGUUUAUAUUGCGGUGAAAUUGUUCCUAUGAUUAUGAGAUUUAAUCAAGUUUUAUUGAAAAUUUUAAAUAAUGUGAUCAUGAGAGGAAAAAUGGUCGGUGAGAUUAUUCAUGGAUUCUAUGCUGUGGGGUUUCUUCCAUAGCUCAAAACACAUGUUUACGUGUCAUACACAAAGUCUUCUAUUCAUUUAAUGUAAGGUUGCCUUUUUUCUUACCACAUUAAGUAUAUGUUUGGUUGCAUGGUGAAUACACCAAAACUCACGUUUACAACUCACUUUUAUUUAAAAUUAAUUCUUUUAAAUUCAAUUCUAUCAAAUUUAAUUUUUAUCACCGCAUAACCAAACACACAGUAAGCUAUGCAUAGACUUUUGGUGCCAAGCAUUUCAGCAUGCGGUGCAGCAUAUUUGAAUAUUGGCACGCUAUGUCGGUUUCACAUUGAAGCUCAUGACUUUAGGUGAAAAAAGAGAUGCUGAUUUUUUCAAACUCUAUAGGUUGCUAUGAAGCACGGACACUCCUUGAAUUAUGCGUGUUCCGGUGUCGGACAUGUGUCGUGUCCGACAUUGACACGAUAUUGAUUCAUGUAAUUAUACUGUAUUAUGUGAUUUUUUAGAAUUAUUAACUGUAUCGGUGUGCCAGUGUCCGUAUCCGUGCUUCAUUCUGUUCAAUAUAUCUCUAAACAGAGGUGCAUUUGGAAGGAAGUAUGAAUAAGAAAUGUAUCAUAAGCACAAUACAAAAAAACAAGCCAAGUGACCUACAUCAAGGAGAGUUAGAGAAAAACUCAUUGAGAGAAUUUUAGAGAAAAUUCUUCGAUGUAAUUGGGUUGCGGGUAGCGAGAGAUUGUGAGUGUUUGUGAACUCAGUUAUCAAUUUACUUCAUUUCCAUUAACCUGACUAUGGGAAAAUUUUGCAUUAUCCAUCAUUUAUGCUUGUAACGUGUGGGUGCACAUUCACGAACAUUAAGGAUUUUCUCUUGUUUUUCGAUUGAUAUCAAAAUUCUUUGUUUUUCCAAAAUGAUUAAACAAUUUCAAUUGAUAAAAUAAAAAAUGAGAAUAGGAUAACUUAGGCAAGGUUCAUCAAUCAGUGAAAUUCAUUAUGAAACAUUAAAUAGACACCAUAAAAAUGUCAAGGCAGUGAUGCUGAAAUCAAUUCUAAAAUCAUACUAUAAACUUUGCUUCUUUUGAAAAAGGAAAAGCUACAAUUUACGAAGUCACUAGAACCCAAAUUAACAUAUGGUAAACACAUAGUACAUAGAAAGUGAAAUACUAAUAUUUUAAAAAUUAAAAUCCUCUAAUGGCAUGAUUUCAGUGAUCAAAUCGAAAAACGAAAACAAUGUUUAUCAGCUGCAUACUUGCUUCAAGGAUGAGUACUAUUUGCAAGUAAGAGACUAAGUUCGCGUUUGGAAAAAAUAGAUAAUCACUUUCAAACUCUUCUGUUUCCUGCUUUUGAAAAUCAUGUGAAAUAGGUCUUCGGAUGCAAGAUUGUUGUUCUAGAUGUGGUCACGAACAUGCUGUAACUGUAACCAGAAUCCAAAGUUCUGCAACAUAUCAGACAUUAGUCUUACCAAACUGAUCUGAGUUUAUUUCUCUUGAAUGUAUAAAACUUGCAACAACUGAAAAUUAAUCCUGGAGAAAACAUGUACAAUUUCAACAGAAACGAGAAACAAAAAAUGAAAAACGAAAAAAUAUUUGUGAUUUCAAAAUGCUUGCAUCUAAUGUUGCUUGUUCAUUCUAAAAAAUAACAUUGAGAAUCAUUCUAAAGGGAGAAAAACUAAGCUACAAUAUUUGUUUCAUAAAAAAAUUAUAACAUGAACUUAUAAAUGUUCAUCAAAUAUAUCAUAUCGAUACAAUUCAAAGAUUUCGAACAUUGUCCGCUAAAGUAAAUGAAAGCAUAAACCAUAUUAUAGUCAUUCCUAAUAAUACACAGUGACUUUUUCCAAUAGUUCAAAUUAUAAUACAUAUUUUAUAAUAUCACAAUCAAAUUCACACACACAUAUACCGCAUACUAUCUUCAUGCUAUAACCAAAUUCAAAUAUAUAUACCGCAUAUUAUCUUCAUGUUACUAUCUUGUUGCUCGCUCUGUCACGCCCAAUUUCAGCUGCAAAUCAAUCUCCACAAGUACUUCAAUGGACCUGCUUAUAGAAAACAUGGAUCCAAAAGAAUGUUAUAUACCAACCAGUUAUGUUUAUAAUUUCCUGAUUUGCAUAAGAAAUUUUUAAAAGGGAGUAAGAAGUUUCUUACGUAUUAAGAAGUCACAUGAAAAGUCGCAUUUUUUGUUCAAGGCCAACUCUUGGUUUUGUACCUGGGUACCUUGGCCACUGCUUGACUCCUCACCGCAUGCUGACUCCUCAUGACCACAUGUGUAACUUAAUUCAGAGUGGGAGGGGACUAUCCGAUUACAAUGAAAGAAAAUAGAGUCAAAAUCAUUUAAAAAAAUAGGGAUCAAAGUUGCACAAUUGCAAUUUAUGGAAUCCAAGUGUGCAAUUAAGCAUUAAUAAUAAUACUUGCUGUAUUUAAGAUUGCACAAGUAAAAAUAAUAUGUUUAAUUAAAUUAUGAUCGAACUUAAUUAUUUGAAAGAUGGUAUUCAGUUGGCUACACCUAAUGGUUUAUAAAUUCAACCUUCCGUUCCUCUCACUCUAUCCAACAACAAACUUAAGUGUUAGCAGAAUUGGGUUAUCCACGGUAAAACGGUCAUUCACAAAUCUGGUUCAUUGGAUGAAAAUCAGGUGACUCGAAUUUCCGAUUAAUGUUAAAGCCAUUUCAUUGAGGUCAAAAUAUGAGUCAUUCAAUGGGAGAAAUUGCUUGACUGGUUGAACACGUUCUAUCAACCAGUCAAGCAAUUUCGCCCAUUACAGAAGUUCAAGAUAGUGAAACUGUAUAUUAUUUAUGAAAGGGCGGAGAUAUGAAGCUCUACAACGACGAAAGCGAUAACCAGAGUCAAAGGAUCCUAUUCCAAAGCAUAACUCCUACUAGAGAGAGAACUCUCCUAACCACAACUAUCAACCAUAAAACUGAAUGAUUCCCACACUCCUCUUGUUGAAUCAUAUAAAGGCUAAAUGACUAAGAUCCCCCUCCCUAAAAUGCGGUAACCAUAUUCUAGCUCACUAACUAGUUCUCCCUUGAUCCCACACCAUUUCUUAUAGAAUAUGCAUAGGUGUCCUAUGACUCUGAUUCCGUGCUUCCAUUGACAGAAAGGAAUCCAGGUCACACGCAGUGGUAGUCUGGUGUAGAUUUCAUUUGUCGAGCAUUUCUUGGCGCAUUUUGGAAUAAUCUAUCAAUAUCAGAAGCCAAAGUAGUAAAGGAGAUAGUAUGACUUGCUAGUCAAAUUUGUUUUACAAGAAUGACUUGCGGAUUGUUACUGGAGUAUGAAGCCACAUUAGUAAAGGAGAUGCAUGAAUUGAAUGGCAACCUUCUUCAAAAAUACUAGUGCAUCCAGAUAAUUAAAAAAAUAAAAAUAAUCAGUAGGAUAAGAAUCAAGUAAUUGAAAAGGAAAAAAAACAUUGGUUGAAGUAUGUGGCAAUACAAACACAUUUUUUAUUUUUUUCCCAGUGAGAUGGUCACAUCCCUUUGCUAAGAUACAAUGCCUUCCUUCAAGAACUGAUGUUUUGGUGUUCAAGUUUACAAAAUAAUAAGAACUAGCAGGUAUGCUGUAAAAAUAUAGUUAUUUAGCUGUUUUAAGUAAGUUUUUGUGAUAAUGAAUGAGAUGAAGAAGGACUUGAUUUAAUUAAGUAGUAGUAGGAAUAAACACAACAUAUAUGAGACUAUCGAAAGGGAGUAAGAAGUUGCAAACCUUGUGUGAUAUUUGUGGAAAGAUCUUCAAGUGGCUUAAAGAUUAUACUAUGUCCUGAUUCUAAUUCAACUGCCUUCUUCAACUCUUCUUUCCUUGGUGAAUCCAAUUCCAAUUCCAGUAAAACACUCUCCAAGUCUUCGACACCUACAAGUCGUACCCCGCACUCUUUAAUACCAAUUGAACCGUCAACUUCCCCCAUAUCGUUUGUAACACAGAACUCAAAACAAAUCUCAGGUUUAUCAAAUUUGAGAAUGCUGUCACAAUGGAAUGGAUCAUACCACACAUAAACAUGAUCCGAGUUCAGUUCUGUGCAAUCAGUAUUUAGCAAGCUAACCUUUAUACCUUGUUCUCCCAAGUUGCAUUGACAUUUUAUUCUAGCUUCACCCUUCUUCGUUCCAUCUCCACCAGCUGGAGAAAGAACCACUGAGUAUAUGAAUCCUAGCAGGUUGGAAUGAUCAGGAAGCAAAUUAAAGGUAAUGGAGGAGUCAGUAGCUAUUUGACAUUGCAACAGACUCGGGAUACAUGUUCCUGGUUCACAAGUAUCAACACUGGUAUAAUUGUAGCUGUGAACGGCCACACGAAGUCUUCUUACAGACACAUUUUGAAACACAGCACUCAUCAUUGUUAAAUUGAGACUUUUCAUUAUAAGGGUAAGUGAAUGUCCAUCCAAAUUCAAGCUGUUACUGAAUGAAAUGUGUUUGGUUUUUCCCAUCAUCUUUGUUGCUAAUUUUUUUAGAUUUGACACUGAAAUUAGUGAUGUGCAGUUUACUGCAUUUAACAUUGUGAUGAGAGGUGGAAGCUCUGGUAUGCACUCAAGCUCCCUGCAAUUCACCAAAGACAAAAUUUCCAAUUCUUCAAGCUUUUUAAUGCUUUCAGGCAACCUCUUCAUGUUGCUUCCAUCAAGGUUUAAUUCCAUUAACUUUGAUACAACGUCGAUGUUGUUGGGGAGGUCAAACUGGUUUACAAAAACAAAAUCCUUCAUAUGUAGUAUUCGUAGGGAUCGUAAGCCAUCAAACAGCUCAUGUAGCUGUUGUUUCUCAACUAUUAGUCUACUGCCAGAAAUCUUCAACUCCCUUAGAGAUAUCACACUAGGUAACUCCUUUGGAAGAUGGCUGAGUCUUAAACUCUCUAGAUUAAGUCGUUUAAUUUUGGGAAGACAACCAAUUGAUAGGUCCAGUGUUUGGAUUCCUGUACUGCUUAAAUCCAAGUUUUCAAUUAAAUCCGAGGACACUGCAAAUUCCUCCAAACUUGUGCACCCAUCCACACUGAUCUCCUCCAAAAAACUUAAAUGUUUUUCACCUCUAACGCUUCUAACCUUUGUACACCUAUCCAGUAUCAAAGUAACAAGUGUGUUUGCACAUAAAACAGACGGAUGAAGAUCAACCAGACUCUCACAACCAGAGAGAUUAAUCCAUUUAAGUCUUGACGCCUUAGACAAAUCUGGAAGCUGUACAAAAUGCUUGCAUUCACUCAUGUCAAUUCCCUCUAAUUUAUCAAAUUCCUGUGACAUUUGAAAAAGAUGAUAUGAUCAAAAUGCAAAUCAUGUAUCCCCUGCCACAGUUAUUUAACAUUGCUGUGUAGCAUGGAGAUUUCAACAAGAAACUUAUCAUAAACAGGUUUUGGAGGACACUCAAAAGGGAAGAAGAAGAAGAAGUAUAUGUGAUAAUGUGUGUAUAUUUACCUGUAUCCCUUGCCAGAGUUCUUUAACAAUGCUGUACCGCAUGCGGAUCUCAACAAGAAACUUAGCCUUAAAAGGUUUUGGAAGAGACUCAAAAGGGUAUCCAUUCCAUUCAAAAUACCUGAGUUUAUUUGAAAAUGGCUCAAGAAAUUCGGGAAGGUCGAGGUAUGUAGUAGUACAACUCUGGUUAGAGGGUGCAUAGAAUUUAAGAAUUCUUAAGCCUUUCAUCUUGCUGAAUGUGUCGGCACUUAAAGAUAAAUCAUUAUUUUGAGACAAAUCCAACAUUAUGCCUUCAAUGAAGCUACUCCCCUGCAGGACAAGAAAGUAAAAUUUAUCCAAUUAAUUGGUUACGUUUUAUUAGAUAGUAAUUUAACUGUGUUGAAAAAAAUGUCAGUUUUUCUUCCCCUUACCUUGUUUUCUUCAAUUACAUCAAGAGCUUCUCUUCCACUCAGUCGGGUAUGUGUUGCAGGGUCCGUGCCACGAUCAUUGCAUAUGUCCGAACCCAUUUUUUGUAGCAAAUCGUGCAUUUGAAUUGUAUGGUCAUUUGAGAUAGUUAUCAAAGCCAUGUCUUUGAGGACUACUAUUUCACUACUUGCUUCGAAAUCACAAGCAUCUAGUAUCCUCGCAACACAAUCUUUCUUUUCUCCUAUGAAAAAGAAUGCUAUGUCUAGAAAUAUCUUCUUCUGCAGUGCAUCUAAGUCAUCAUAGCUCAAUUUUAAAACUUCAUGCACUGUCGCAUUAGAAUGCUUACCAAGUUUCUUAAAAGCACUCUCCCAAAAUUCAAUCUCUCUUGAACGAAGAAGUAAAGCAAAAACUUUAAGGGCCAGUGGAACGCCCCCUGCAUAAGUGACCGCCCUUUGCAAGAGAUGCUCAUACUUCUCUCGGGGAUGACUUGGCACGAAAGCUUCAAGGCAGAAAAGCUCUAGAGAUUUUGGAUCUUCCCAUUGCUUGACCUCAUAUAUCCGAUGAACUCGUUUUCUCAGCAAUUGUCUGUCUCUUGUUGUUAUAAUGAGUCUACUAUCUUUAUGUAGCUUACCAUAAUCUCUACAUAAAUAUUCAAAUUGAUCCAAACUGUCCACAUUAUCAAGUACAAUCAAAACUUUGGUACUUCUCAGCCUUCUCAUAUGAAAUGUAGAUAUUACAACAUCAGAUGGAGAAAAUUCUUCCUUUAGUAGCUCAGAGAAUAACUUACUGACUGAAUAUUCUUUUGCAUUAGCAAAGCAAACUUGGUCAUAUUGAGCAAAGUGUUUGGCAAACAAGACUUUGGCGAUGGUUGUCUUUCCCAUACCGCCCAUGCCCCAAAUUCCAAGUAUUUGAACACUUUUCAAUAAUGACUCCACACAUUCACAGUUUUUUUCGUCUCUCACAACGCCUUCUAGUUCAUUAGGGUACCUCAGUUGUAGCUUUUGCAAUACAUCAUUCACAAUUUUGUGGAUGAGGUUAGAUUCAUCCCUAACAUAGUAAAAAUAAAAGAGUAAAUGACACAAAAAGCAAUGAUUAAUUAAAUUUAUCAUAAAUAUGACAAUAUAUUAUGCACAUAAAGCAAGAAACUAAUAACAAAAAGAAUUUUGUUUUAUUUAUGGAUCUUUACGCCCAUGCAUAGGAUUGUGCAUAUUUUUUUUUUUGUCAAAGUAGUCUAAUGGAUAAAAAUUCAUCUUUUUAAUGUGAAUAAAUGAGGUGUUCAGAAUUCGAACAUGACCCUUGCAUAUAUUAUGCAAUGUCCCUAUCUUUAAGCUAACAUCACGGGGACUCGACUGUACACAUUGUUGUUUAUCUUAUGGAUCUUUUUUCCGUGAAGAAUACCCGUCGCUAGUUCUAAAUGUCCAUAAGCAUGCUGAUGAGUUCUUUGGAAUUUGUGGGUUUGUUCACUUCUAUUGCAAUGAUGUUUUGCAUGAUUUGAACCUACUUUUGCUUUAUGUUACACAUUGUGGGAGCAAAUUUUGUUACCCAAGGUUGUUUGAUUCGACAAAACUGAUAGGGGAGGUUGUUGAUUGGGGCAUAAACAUAUUUUGCUUAAUAGUUGCAGCUCCAUAUUGUUCCUCGCUAUCAGUUGUUGGAGUCAUGUUUCGAUUUGUGUGAGAAAUUUGUGUGAGAAGAUCAUGUUUCGAUUUGUAAAAUAAAUAGGGAUACUUUUGAUGAAAAUAAUUAAUGUAUUAAAUUAGUUUAUAGACUAAAUUGAAGUAGGAGAUAAACUUUAUGAAAUGAAUGGACGAUCUAUUAUUUUAUAGCUUUAGCUUGUAUUCACCUCAAUUUAAAACUUUUUUACACAUGAAUUUAAUCAAAUCACACCACUUCAAUGUUUAUGAAGAUAUUUUGAGAACUAAACUACUCUCUUCGUCUAUAAAUUAUUUUGGUCAUUUCACACAAAUUAAACAAAUAUAAUUAAUUUUUGUGAGAAAGAUAAAUUUUGCAUUAUUUUACAAAGUUAUCCUUUAUUAAUGUUAUGUGAAAAAUAAAUUGAAGAAUUGAAAUAAGAGAAUGUAAUAAAUGGAUAAGGGUAUAAUGGAAAAAAGUAUCAUUAAUGUUUUCUUGAUAUUGUAAAGUGACUUAUAAUUUAGAAUAAUUUAUUUUCUCAAAACGACUUAUAAUUUAAGACGGAUAAAGUAUAAAUGAAACUUUUAAAAAGAGACAAACAAAUAUGAAGGGUCUUGCUAACGAGUGUUUCCAUAACACUCUUUAAGCAUUCCUAAUUAAAAAAAUAUUCUUUUACAAAAUCAAAUAAUUCAAUUUUUAAUGCACUGAAUUCAUAAAUCUUCAUAAAAACUUACCAUUUAAGGUUCUAAAGAGUAGGCAUGGCAACGAGGCGGGUCGGGACGGGUUUAAGCAUCCCUGUCCCCACCCCCGCCUGCCGUCGUCCUCAAACCAUAUUGGAGGUAAAAAUUGAACACCCAACCCCGCCCUCAAUGGGGACGGAUCUCCCAGCCCCGCCCCACCCCAUCCGCGAAAACUCUAUUUUUUAUAAAAUAUUUAAAACAAUACAUAUUUUUUCAUUUUGUUCAUAGCAACAAAAAACAAUAAUUAUAUUAAUAAUUAAAGAUCUAAUAAUUUUUUUUCAAAAGAGCAAAAUAAUUAUAAUAAACAUGUUUUUAAAGAGUAAUAAAAUAUUAAAAUAGGUUGGUUCUUAUGAAAAUUAUAAGAUUAUAAAAUUUAAUAAAGUAAAUUUUAAAAAACGGGUGCGGGGCGGGUAUAAGCAUCCCGAGCCCACGACCCCGUACUAAAAAUCCAGAUUUCCCCCACAUCCGUACCCAAUUAAAUCGGCUUUUCCCGUUAAAUUCGGGGCGGGGCGGAUUUUGUUACCAUGUCUACUAAAGAGUGAUCGGUGACACUUGUUAAAAUUUUCCAUAUGAAAAAAAGAACUAAUGCAUCCAUGGUUGAUUUAUAGUCAAUUUUUGGUCUGAAAUCACCUCUUUAAUUUGUUUAUUUUCUUCCCUUUUAUUUGAUUAUCCUUUUUGUUAUUCUUGAACUACUUUCAUUUAUGUACUAGUAUUCAAGAAUAAAGUCGCUCCUUUUGCCUUCAUAUAUUAGUAGACAUUAAGAACAUGAUGAUGAUGAUAUAUAUAAUUCACUUCCUCUUCUUUUUUUGAUUAAAAAAAAAAUAUACUCCACUUUUUAACAAAUAAUUUUCUCAUAACUAUAUGAAGAGAAAAGCUUUUUAUUUUGACACUAUUACUUAAAAAAUAAUAAGUAGAUUAAAUUCAUCAAAAACACGAGAGAUAUUAUGCUUAGGAAUUAACACAUGGUGGUUGAAUUGAAUAUCUUAAAAAAUUCAUCUAAAACUGGUUACUUACUUGUGAGUAUGAGUGUCCCAUCCAGAUAUAGUGGCUGCUUCAGUAAGGGCAGAUCUCCACUUAAGCACUAUAAGUUUAUUGGAUGCAUUACUUUUGGUCCCAAGAUCUCUCUCGUGUUUUGCAAAUGCUUUCUCAUAACUAUGAGUCUGAUUUCUUAUGUGAGACGGAUUUGUUUUAUAGAAAACAGGUAUAACAACUUGACCAUGGUCUUUUCUGCAUUCCAGCACUUUCACCAGUUCUUCCAAACACCAUUUUGAGGUUGCAAAAUUUUCAGAGAAAACAACGACGGAGAUGUGUGACUCUUCAAUAGCUUUGGAAAGUUUUGGCCAAACAUCUUCUCCUCUAUUGAGCUCGUAAUCUAUGAAUGUUUUUAUUGAUUUAUGAAUCAGAGCAUCGUAAAUAAGGUUGGUGAUGCCAUACCGAGUGUCCUCGCCUCUAAAGCUGACAAAGACAUCGUAUUUCUUGCUGGAAUAAGACAUUUUACGUACCUUGAUUAGAAAUUAUGAUUGAGUAUGAACAAAACAAACAUAUGAAUAUGACUUUCUUUUAUCAGCUGCCCGCUUGGAGUUGGAGGUUUCUUUAAACAACACAAAGACCCCCUUUAGUUUAAAAAUGAACAUUGACCUCCCUUAUUUGUUUCUUUAAUUAAAUAUUCUUUCUUUGUAUGUUAACACCGUUAGUUGUCCGUUAACUUCUCUGUUGUAAUGGAAGCUUGUGUCAGCUACGAUAUCUUUGACCAUGGCAACUCCUUGUAUGAAAAAUUGGCAAAUUCAUAAAAAUUACACAAUGGGGAAGAACUAUUUGAUUAUAAAUAAAUGAAAUAAAGCCAUAAAACUAGCAUAUAAUUAACCAAUUGGUGUAAUACACCACAAACAAAAUCUUCGGAUUCAUCGGCUUGCUUUGAAAUAGCCCGAUUCAGUUCGAAGUGCAAACAGUUCGUCCAAUUAUCUUCAAAAAUAUAAAAAUUCAUAUUGAAUUCAUGUUUUGUUAAAAAAUUAUAAUUUUUUUUGGGAGGGAUUCUAAUAAUAUUAUGAAUUUUUCUGCAAAAAAUUUUAUUCAAAAAUAUGAUAUCUACAUAUAAUUUACUUUAAAAGAGGGACCAAAAGUGAAGAUGGAAAAAAAUUUGGGACUAAAACAAAAAAUUGUCAUAUUUAUAAGGACUAAAAACAUAUUUAGCCAUUUUCCAUCUACUCGUUUGAAAAUAUUCAAGAUUCUUGUUAUAUGGCCUUGAGCAAACUAGAGACCGUUCAUUCUAACGGAAGGAUUUUUGCCGCUGAAAUCAAAAUAUAGGUACAGAAAUUAUAUUCUGGAAGUUUUCUUUUUUAAAAUUUGUAGAGUAAAAUAAUCCAGAAAUUUUAUUGUUAAAAUUUUUAUUUCAAAGUUUAUUUUUAAAAGAUAUUCAAAUAUUUGGAAUAUAAAUAAUAUUCAAGCGAAAGGGGAAAACAAUAAUCAAUUCUUGUUUGUUCUAACUUCUUCUCAUAUAUCAAUCUUGGUUUUAAUUUCUUUGUUAAUUUUGCACUGCUGCUGCUGCAUUUUGUUUAAAUUUCUGCAUAAUCCAUCAUAAUCACAUUGAACUGUGCAUCAUUUCUGCUUAUUAUUCAUAUUCAAACCAAUUAGUUAUACCUUAGAUUCAAUAGGAUUCGAGAAUCAUUCUUGGAAACCCCUAAAAAACUAAGAGUUGUCUUAUAACGAUUAGAUUCUAUAUACACUUAGUUCGACCCCCUCACCCUAUUUUUUGACCUUUGUUUUAUUCAUUAUUAUCCCAUAUGGAUUAUCCCAUAUGGAUCGAAUUAAUCUAAAUCAAUUCGAAAGACCAAAUUAUUACUGUGGGAAAUAUUCGAAUUUUAUUUUAGGAAAAUCAAAUAAACUUUUGUCAAUA
rnacentral:lncRNA from 1 species